rnacentral:rRNA from 1 species
UACGAGGGGUGCAAGCGUUGUUCGGAAUUAUUGGGCGUAAAGGGCAGGUAGGUUGUCUUGUAAGUCUACUGUGAAAUCCCCGGGCUUAACCCGGGACGUGCGGUGGAUACUGCAAGACUAGAGUGCUGGAGGGGUUCGUGGAAUACCCGGUGUAGCGGUGAAAUGCGUAGAUAUCGGGUGGAACACCAGAGGCGAAGGCGGCGAACUGGACAAUUGCUGACGCUCAGGCACGAAAGCGUGGGGAGCAAAAGGG